UGUUCUAUGGCUCACUUGGUUAAAGCGCCGGUCUAGCGAAUACGGAGUCGUGGGUUCCAAUCCCACCAGAACGC
rnacentral:tRNA from 1 species